GCCCAGGUUAAUCAUCACUAAAUGGAGUUUUUUAAGAAUCUCAGAAGACACUGCUGGAAGAAUCACAGAGGGAACUUCUGAAGAAAUUCUAAAUAAGCCCCCGGAGAAAUCUCAGAAGAAACUAGAGGAAUCUCGGAACAAAUUUCUGGAGAAAUCCGCAAACUUCUGCAGGAUUAUCAGAAGAAAUUCCUUAAGGAGUGAGUAGAGCAUAGAUGACCGUACAAUUUGUAGUUGCUACAAAUACAAUUCGUGGUGCGUGUACUCCCCACCGCUCCCGGGUUAACAAAGGUGAAUUGCAAACUUGUACCGACACUUGACGUGACGAACCUUUCCACAUUUGUAGGUUAAAUACACGAAAAUAUGGUUUAGUUUUUAAAAUCAUCAGUUAUUUUAAUAUAAUUCAGAGAAUUUCGUCUUUUGUGGAACUCUCAGUCAACUACCUUGGUGGAGACCUCUAACACCCCUCUGAACCCCACUCCCUCAUAAAGAAUAGUGACAUCAACUGGAAACUUCCUUAGAAAACUCUAAAACCCCUUGGAACCUUUCCGAAAGCUUACUGAAACGACCCCAUUGAACCUCUCAAAACCCUCUGAAAUUACUCCGAAACUACAUGAAACGCCCCUGAAUGGCCCUCCUGGAACCAAUAGAACUCCUCUCCGAAAUUCCCUGAGGCCCUCUAAAACUUCUCGGAAAUCUUCUAAAACGCUCCUGAAACUUCCUAAAACCCCUCUGGAACCAUCUUGAAGUCUCCUGCACCCAUGUGAUUCUCCUUGAACGCUCCUAAAAUUCAUCGGAACCCCACUAAAGCUCCCUGAAUUCCUUCGACGUAUGAUAAAUAUUCAAGCAUCCGUUAUGAUUUUUCGAAAGUUUUUCUGACAAUGUUCAUAAAAACGUUUUCACUGUAUGUAGUAGGUAGUUCACAACUCACCCGCAGAAGUGGUGCCACCAUCUAGGCAAUAUUGUUCAUUUUAACAAAACAAACAACUCUUUCAUGGGCUUAGCAGCGUGUUCAGAAGGAAUCGCUCGACAUUUUUAGCAUUUUUAGACCGAUUCCUGACAGAAGCUUACUACAGUGACUUUUAAUGGCAGUAUUUUCUUUCAAGCUGUGUAGUUUCUUGUGAGGUUAGAAGAAAUUACUUAUGAAAUCCCGAAGAAAGCUCCUGGAGGAAUCACAAAUGGAACUUCUUCAGGAAUUCUAGACUUUUUUAGAUGACACCACAGAAGGAAUUCUUGGAGGAAUCCCAAGUUGAAUUCAUCGACUCAAAACUGUUCUUUGGGUAUAGAAUCUACUGAGCCCUGGCGCGACGGUGCCUGUUUUUAUGAUUCAUUUCUGAUUAUUGUCGCGCUUAUCUUUUAUUAGAGUCUGGCGGCUGUCGUACGCUCACAAGGCAUACCACCGCAGUGACAGUCGCAAGGCAAAACAAAAGAAAAUAUGUUCCCGCCAAAAACAAAAGCUCGUGGGUUUCUCGAAGUGACAGAUGUUCAUGAAUGUAUUUGUGAUAAACGGUAAGAGUGACUCACUGGAAUGAGUGUGUUUGGUAACAAACCCCAUGUAAUGGAAUUAAAUACUUUUAAAUCUGGUGACGCUCUUAUGAUUAGUGACUGUCGCGCUUAUAUCAGAAGCCAGAGGUAGAUAACCGUCAUAUUCUGAUUUUUCAUGAAACGCAUAAUAUUAUGCCGAAACAUAUAGUCUGCCUAGCAGCUACACUGAACGAAAACCACGGCCGUGCAAAUAAUGAUGUGUUAUUCAAUGCGAUACAGAUUCACAGAAUCUAAAUUUUGAAUGGCACAGCAUUUUUAAUUUCUUUGUUUAUUCAAAGACUUUUCAAACAUGAUUGAGAUCGAAUAAUGUACAGGUUCUUGUAGCGCCAAAGAAAAGUCCUCACAUUUCUGGAUUUUUCUGCUUAUUGGAUCGAAUAGAGCCUCCGUUAUCAACAGUUUGUGUGACAUUAUUGUGACAUACAAACACUAAUUAAAUAUUUAUAUAAUAGGUAUACUGCCCCUCUUGGCAUGUCAGUCCCAUGUCGUUUCUAAUGCGAAUCAAAUUUUUGUCUCUCACGAGCUCAUUUAAAAUAAAUUUCGUAUUUUUCUUGCCUCAUUUCACAGCCCAAUAUUCCACGAAAAGUUUAUGCAAGAAUUGAAUACAUUUUUUUCGAAAACAAUUGGAGUUACAGUGCAAAACGUAGGCACUUUGAAAAACAACAUGGGACUGACAUGGGAAGAGGGGCAGUAUAUAGAUUUCAAUAAAAAUGUACCUACAUAUAAUUAGAUAACUCUUUUAAAACUGGUUUAUUUGUUAAGUUUUAAAUCUCAUUCGUUGAAAAAAAUAUUUAAAACUAUCCCCAAAUCAUAUGAACCAGGAAAGGAAAUGAAAAUCAUUCAUAUAUUGACUUUCUAAAAAGUAAUGAAAAACAUCAUUUUUUGAAAUUCUCAUCAUUCAAAUUGUUUUCAUUUUUAAGGAGGCUGGAUCAACUGAAAAUCUCGGCUCGGAUGAAACAGAAAUCAUUCAAUUCAUGGCGGGGGUUUUCGUUCAAUGUAGUUCGCGAUGUAUCAUUGGAGGUGCUAUAGUCUAUAGACUAAGCCCAGCCGUGGGCAUUUGAAAACACUUGAACGCUAAGUAGAGCCCCGAACAGAGAAGAGGGCAACACCGGUUGCUGCAAAGUAGAGCUUGGAAAUGAAAGUUUUUCCUGCAGUACGUAACAGGGCUUGGAAUUCAGAAACACGCAAACUCAAGGAAAUGGCAUCCCUAUCCCACAAAUAAGAUUUUCAUAGCCGCAUAACAUCGGCACAAGCCUACGGUUCAAGCUUGACAAACUCUUUCUCACCACAGAAGUUGAUGCGGGUCUGGAAGUUGAUCUAGGGUCUAUAUGACACUGCACGCCACGGUUGCAAAGAUAAAUUUUGGCAAAUUUUUGACGUUUGGUGGUCUUGUUGCGCCUUGUUGUUUACGAUACGAACAUACACAAUUGUGUCAUCUUCGCAUGAGUGGUUUCCUUCAGUGAUUCUACAGUAAUUCGUUCCGGGAUUCGUUCAGAAAUUCCAUCAUACAGGAGUUUAUUCUAAGAACAUAGGGAGUUCUGUAUGAGAUAAUAUCUGGCGUUCGAUUUGAAUAGGUCGUAAGUUUGCUGUGAUUCCUAUGCAGAUUCGACCUAUUCAAAUCGAACGCCAGAUAUGUUAUAUCCGUGGGCUAACGCUUCCUUUAGAAGUUCUCUCUGUGAUUUUUCCAAUAGUUUUUUUUUUGAGAUUUCGUUCAAGAGCUCUUGCCAGGGUUGCCCCAGAAAGUUCUGUCGAAAUUCCAGAAGAAUUUCCUCCGGGAUUUAAUAAAUAUUUUUUUUCUGGGAUUCCUUAAAGAUUUUUUGGACUCCAGCAGAACUUUUUUCCGAUGUGUCUCUAGGAAUUCGUUCCAGGAAUUUCUUCUAGGAUUGAGAUCCCUCCAAAAUUUCCUUCUGAGAUUACCCCAGCACUUUUUCCUUGAAUUCCUUCAGGAUUUAAAAAAAAACACGGACUUCUACCAGUCAGGAACACUUCCAGUAAACUAUUAGCUCUAUGAAGGAGGCACGACACUAGACAACGGACUAGCAUGCAACGCCUAGUGGCACAGCCGAAAACUUUUUCCGACAGCUGCGGUGGGAAUCGAACCUGCACUCCUCAGCACGAUGCGACUAAGUGCUUGGUGACACUAGUCGCACGACUACGAAGCCAAAAGGAAUUCUUCCCGUAGUUUCUCCAGAAAUUAUUUCAGAAUUUCUCUUAGAGUUGCUUUUGUGAAUCCUCAGGAACUCCAUCUGAGAUAAUUCUUAGGAUUCUUUGAAAAAUUUCCCACAGGAAUUCAUCCAGGAUUUUCAUUUGAGCUUCCUUCUGGGACUUCAAGGAAUUCCUUCUGAGAACUUCUUCAGAAGUAUAGAUAAUCCUCCAGGGAUUGUUUAUGAGAUUCCUUCCGGAAUUCCUUCCUUGAUUCCUCCAGGAAUUUGUUCUGAGAUUCUCUUAAUAGAUUCUCUAGGAAAGUCUUCAGAAGUUUUUCCUGUGAUGUUCAGAAAUGAUUCCUGGAAAAAUAAAAUUCUGGAAGCAACUACUAAAGUAAACCGUGAAGAAACAUCGAAAGAAACUCCUUACAAAACUACUGGUGGAAUUCCUUGAGAAAUUGUUGAAAUUCCUCAAGGAACUUAAUAUGUGAGGCACUCCUAAUGUAAUUCCAUGAGGAAUUCCAUUUGAAAGCUCCUGAUGGAACUUCGUAAAAUGCUCCUGGAAGAAUUCCGUAAUAAUCUGCUAGAGUUUUCUGCCCCCACUCGCAUAACAGUCCCAUAUGAAUAGGAAAUCCAGCAAACAUGGGACAGUAAUGCGAGUGGGGGCAAUUUUGUCUUUAGCUAAAUAUGAGAGAUCUAGAAUGAACUUCCGUAGGAAUUCUAAAAUAAAACUUCAGGAGAAAUGCAGAGAAGAGUUCUUGAACGAACCCUCUAAGGUGUUCUUGAAAGAUUGGCAGAAGAAGUUCCUGAAGGAAUUCCAGAAGAAGUUCUUGGAGGAAGGAUAUCGAAUCUCAUAAACAAAAUCUGAAAAAUCAUAGAAAUCAUGAAUCAUGGAGGAAUCUCGGAUGGAACUUCCGGAAGAGUCCCGAAGAAGAAACUUAUGAGAAUACAAAUAUGGCUGCCGCAAUGGCCGACUUGGAGCCUUACUCACGUUUUCAAGAUCACCAAUCUUAGAAAAUAUUUGAACAAAUGCACUCGAUUUGGAAAAGCUGCCUCUUUUUACAAGUGAGCAAAACCAGGAUAAACAAGUACGGCUUGGUUCGAUGCUUCGUUCGUCAGAUUUGUACCUCUCUAAAGUUAGUAUGCAAAAUUGCAAUGGAAUUUUUUGAUAAUUCAGCUGAAGGAAUUCCAAUAGGAAGCUCUGAAGGAAUUUUGAAGGAUUUUUUGGAGCAAUUUCGGAAAAAAAAAACUUUAGGAAGAAUUUUGGAAGACAUUCCGGGUGAAAUCCUAGGAAGGAACUCAAAAUUCUUGAGGAAUCCCAGAAGGAGCUUAAGGCUACCACAGCAGGAACGCGUAAAGGAACUCUUAGAAGGAAUUUCUGGUGGAAUCCCAGAAUGAAUUCCUUAAAAGGCCGUGGAUGGAACUGGACGAAUCCCGCGAAGAAGGAAUCCUUAAUAGACCACCGCAAGAAUUUCAUAUAGAACUCCCUGGGAAUCCCAGAAGAAACACUUGGGGGAGAUUUGUGGAGAGAUCACGUAAGGAAUUUCUGUGGAAUCUGACAAGGAUUUUCCUGGAAGGAUACCACCAGCAAAUAAUAAAUUGUAAUUGUAAUUUGUAAGUUUAUUUAUACGAUAGCCUGUCAGUGUACAAACUUUAAACCAGGUCAAGGAAUAAAUGAUGAUUCACUUCUGUUAGAGUUACAGGGUCUCCAGUUAGCCUAGUGGUUAAGGCUAUGGAUCGCCAAUCCGGAGACGGCGGGUUCGAUUCCCGUUCCAGUCGGGAAAAUUUUCUCGACUCCCUGGGCAUAGUGUAUCAUUGUCCUUGCCUCACAAUAUACAAAUUCAUGCAAUGGCAGGCAAAGAAAGCCCUUCAAUUAAUAACUGUGGAAGUGCUCAAAAGAACACUAAGUUGAAGUGAGGCAGGCCAAGUCCCAGUGGGGACGUAGAGCCAUAGAGAAGAAGAAGAAGAAGAAGAAGAAGAAGAAGAAGAGUUACAAAAAUAUUGAAAAUUAAAAAAAAUGACUACUGACUUUUUGAUGCAAAUAGUUACUUUUUAGUGACUGAGUGGAAAACAGUGAUUACAUCAUUAGAAAGAGACUUGCUACCAGGCCUCAAUUUACUUAUGGUCACCCUACACCUGCAUAAAAGGGUUUCGUGCCCUUGUAUGGCGCAACGCAUCUUCCUCACUAUAUUUAUAUGUACACAUAUUAGAGGUACCUAUUAGGAAUACCCGCAACCAACCAUUAGGAAGCAAAGGAGGAAACCCCAAAGCGACACGACACAGUUCGGCGGAACACGGAAAUGAGAACCAGACAAACCAUCGAACGAACCAACGAACGAACAAAAUAUUGAUUUAAUAACCCACUUUACCUUCAGCUUGGUUGACGGAUUGACUGCGGCUCCUCUGUGUCCUGUAUAGGGUGACCCCCGCUCCUCUCGGCUGGACUCCUCAAGCAACCCGAACCGAGCAGCAGCGAUUGUGAUGAAAAGUUAUCUCAGAGUUUUUGUCCGAGUGUUUCGGCGAUAAUUUAUGAAUGUAUCGUUUGCCUUCUUCAGGUAUUUCUUCUUGUUCUUCCGCUGCGUAGCUCGUUUUCUUCCUCCGGUUCUGCUUGACUGACUUUUUCGUCAACUAACUUUUUUUUUGCUGGGACGAAUCUCUUUCAUCACAUCUUUCUUCUUGUCACUCACGUCUACCCACGACUCGAGACGAGAUAGAUUUUUUUCUUAAAUAAUUCACCUUCACUUCUUCAACCUGGCUUCAAGUGGCAUUUGCUAAUGCAGCUUCAAAGCACAAAAUUUUCCACUCCCGGAGCCGCACCUACAAUUUGCGUUUCUUCUUGAAUGAUAAUUAUUUCGCAGCUUCGAUUGGAUGACGUCGAUUCUUCAAACCCGAAAACAAAACUUCCACGGAUUUUGUCUGCUCUCCGCCUGCUGCUGCUUCUAUCCGCACUCUGCUGAUGAUGCAAAUUUUUUCCACUACUGACUUUCACUCGGGAAGAUCUCAGCAAUCCGCACGUCGGAACAGCACAACCUCCCGAAAAUCUCGGCGUAACCCACGGCAAC